UUUCUCUGUUUGUGCUCCAUUUGUGCUCCAUUUGGGCUCUGUUUUUGCUCCAUUUGUGCUCCAUUUGGGCUCUGUUUGUGCUCCAUUUGUGCUCUGUUAGUGCUUUUGUUCAUCAUUUUAAUAUUAGUUUUUUCUUUAAUUUGUGUUGGGUGAGAAUACAGAUUAUUUUUACAAGCGACUGCAUAAUCGGGAAUUCCAAGCGUUGAUAAGACUCCUCUUACAACAUUCAAAGCCCUGGCAUCGUUGGAAUCUAAGCCACUAGAAGAUCCAGAAUUGGAAUCUAUUUGGAAGGAGAAUGUUGUGUGAAAUGAAGGAGUGUCUGUAUCAAGAUCCAACAUCCUGAUGGGAGAGUAAUACAGAGCUUUUCCAGCCUGAAAGGAAAGAUUAUGAUUAAGAUCAUUGGUACUGGGUAUCCGAUGAUGCCUUCACUUUCUUGCAGCCCUACACAGCCCAGAAACCUUAUUUCAUGAUUUAUUCAUUAUGGCCUCUGAACUCUGAAAUCUGGGAAAAGCAGUUGCUUUUAGACAUUUCUUGCAGAACCCAAUUUUCUACAGGACACUAAUUCUCAGUAUUUAACACAGCAAGGGUGAUGGGACACACGAGGACAACCACUAAACAUUAAUUAUGAGAAGAAGCCAUUCUGAGUUUGAGUAUCCCCUCUCAAUUUUUGUUCCCCGUUCUAUACAAUAGAAUGUUGUGUUAGUUGUCGCUUAUUCAGCAACAUUCCCCAGAUUUCCAUUUUUGCCUAUCAAUAGCUGGUUAAAUGUUCAGUGUUUGUGAUUAUGAUUCAGGGGAGUAACUGUUCCUGCUACACAGAAUUCAAUAAUUGGAAGUAGUUGGAAAACAACAUGGAGAUUGAGGUCAAAAGGACACCUCUUUUUUCUGCAUCAAACAAUUACAAAAAUUUCAGAGCCUUUGGUCUCAAUUGUGUUCUUCUUGCUUGAAUUUAAAUGAAUUUGAGGCUGAUUUUCCCUAUGUUUUUCAGCGUCACUUUUCAGGUUGAUCUAAACAAUGAACUUGCACGGGAACUACUUCUUACAUCCUUUGGAAUCCCAAUUAUUCACAUUUACUGUUUCAGACUGAUAAAGUAAUGUCAACAUGAACAAAUUGAAGAAAAUGGUUUCGGCUGUAUGAACACCUCUGGCAGUGCAAGACAUAGAUUGGUUCCCUUUCCAACAGCUGGAUAGUAGUGGUAUGGAACAGAAUCCAAGAUCUAAAAUUCCUGUCAAGCAGUGAGAAUAUAUUGGACUGUAUCCAUCUGUUUCAUUCUAAAUAGAACUAAGAAAACACAUUUCAGCUU